rnacentral:rRNA from 1 species
UACGAAGGGGGCUAGCGUUGCUCGGAAUCACUGGGCGUAAAGCGCACGUAGGCGGAUUUCUAAGUCAGGGGUGAAAUCCUGGAGCUCAACUCCAGAACUGCCUUUGAUACUGAGGAUCUUGAGUCCGGGAGAGGUGAGUGGAACUGCGAGUGUAGAGGUGAAAUUCGUAGAUAUUCGCAAGAACACCAAUUGCGAAGGCAGCUGGCUACACGAAUAUUGACACUGAUGCACGAAAGCGUGGGGAUCAAACAGG